UACGUAGGCAGCAAGCGUUGUUCGGAGUUACUGGGCGUAAAGAGUGCGUAGGCGGUUUCGUAAGUUUGGUGUGAAAUCUCCCGGCUUAACUGGGAGGGUGCGCCGAAAACUGCGGGGCUGGAGUGUGGGAGAGGUAAGCGGAAUUCCCGGUGAUAGCGGUGAAAUGCGUAGAUAUCAGGAGGAACACCGAUGGCGAAGGCAGGUCACUGGGCCGCAACUGACGCUGAGGAGCGAAAGCUGGGGAGCGAACAGG
rnacentral:rRNA from 1 species